rnacentral:rRNA from 1 species
UAGGGAAUCUUCGGCAAUGGACGAAAGUCUGACCGAGCAACUCCGCGUGAGUGAAGAAGGUUUUCGGAUCGUAAAACUCUGUUGUUAGAGAAGAACAAGGACGUUAGUAACUGAACGUCCCCUGACGGUAUCUAACCAGAAAGCCACGGCUAACUACGUGCCAGCAGCCGCGGUAAUACGUAGGUGGCAAGCGUUGUCCGGAUUUAUUGGGCGUAAAGCGAGCGCAGGCGGUUUCUUAAGUCUGAUGUGAAAGCCCCGGGCUCAACCGGGGAGGGUCAUUGGAAACUGGGAGACUUGAGUGCAGAAGAGGAGAGUGGAAUUCCAUGUGUAGCGGUGAAAUGCGUAGAUAUAUGGAGGAACACCAGUGGCGAAGGCGGCUCUCUGGUCUGUAACUGACGCUGAGGCUCGAAAGCGUGGGGAGCAAACAGG